rnacentral:rRNA from 1 species
UACGUAGGUGGCGAGCGUUGUCCGGAUUUACUGGGCGUAAAGAGCGCGCAGGCGGCUGGUCAAGUCCGAUGUGAAAGCUCCCGGCUUAACUGGGAAAUUGCAUCGGAAACUGAUCGGCUGGAAGGUGGGAGAGGGUAGCGGAAUUCCCGGUGUAGUGGGUGAAAUGCGUAGAUAUCGGGAGGAACACCAGUGGCGAAAGCGGCUACCUGGCCCAUUCUUGACGCUGAGGCGCGAAAGCUAGGGGAGCAAACGGGG